GGUUGCGUGGCCCAGUGGUUAAGGCAUCUGCUUUACAAUUACGAAAACGCAGAGGAUCGCAGGUUCGAGCCCUGCCGCGAUCA